rnacentral:rRNA from 1 species
UACGUAGGGGGGCAAGCGUUGUCCGGAAUCAUUGGGCGUAAAGAGCGUGUAGGCGGCUAGGUAGGUCCGUUGUGAAAACUCGAGGCUCAACCUCGAGACGUCGAUGGAAACCAUCUAGCUAGAGUCCGGAAGAGGAGAGUGGAAUUCCUGGUGUAGCGGUGAAAUGCGCAGAUAUCAGGAAGAACACCCGUGGCGAAGGCGGCUCUCUGGUACGUGACUGACGCUGAGACGCGAAAGCGUGGGGAGCGAACAGG